CCUUCAAUGAGGAGUUUGGAGCCGCCCCACUGCAGAGUCCACACCGGCUGAGCCAGAGCCACGCGAGUGCGAGAGCCCGGGUGCGGCCGCCAUCUCUGCUUUCCGUCUGGGUUGGACCCCGGCAUCGAGGUGUUCUUCUCUGAAGUAAGAUGACUUGUCAAAAAUUUUGUAUGGCUUUGUUACAGUGGGAAUUUAUUUAUGUGAUAUCAGCAUUUAACUUGGCAUAUCCCAGUACUCCUUGGAGAUUUAAGCUGUUUUGCAUGCCACCAAACACAACUUACGACUUUCUCUUGCCUGCUGGAAUUUCAAAGAACACUUCAAAUUUGAAUGGAUAUUAUGAGCCACUUUUAGAAGCUAAAUUUAAUUCAAGUGGUACCUACUAUUCUAACUUAACAUCCAAAACAACUUUCCACUGUUGCAUUUGGAGUGAGGAAAAUGAAAACUGCUCUGUACAAGCAGACAACAUUGAAGGGAAGGCGUUCGUUUCACCAGUAAAUUCUUUAGUUUUUCAACAAAUAGGUGCAAACUGGAACAUACAGUGCUGGAUGAAAGAGGACUUGGAAUUAUUCAUCUGUUAUAUAGAGCCAUUAUUUAAGAAUUCUUUCAAGAAUUAUGACCUUAAGGUCCAUCUUUUAUAUGUUCUGCCUGAAGUGUCAGAAGAAUCACCGCUGGUCCCCCAGAAAGGCAGUUUCCGGCUUGUUCAGUGCAACUGCAGUGCUCAUAAAUGUUGUGAAUGCCAUGUGUCUGUGCCAGCAGCCAAGCUCAACUGCACUCUCUCUAUGUAUUUAAAAAUCACAUCUGGGGGAGUGGUUUUUCAGUCACCUUUAAUGUCAGUUCAACCCAUCACUAUCGUGAAGCCCGAUCCACCAUUAGGUUUGCAUAUGGAAAUCACAGACAGUGGUGAUUUAAAGAUUUCUUGGUCCAGUUCAACAUCGGUACCGUUUCAACUUCAAUAUGAAGUGAAAUAUUCAGAGAAUUCUACAAGUAUGAGAGAAGCUGAUGAGAUCGUCUCAGCCACAUCUCUGCUAAUAGACAGUGUGCUUCCUGGGUCUUCGUAUGAGGUUCAGGUGAGGGGCAAGAGGCUGGAUGGCCCAGGCAUCUGGAGUGACUGGAGCACCCCUCUUACUUUUACCACACAAGAUGUCAUAUACUUUCCACCUAAAAUUCUGACAAGUGUUGGGUCUAAUGUUUCUUUUCACUGCAUCUACAAAGAUGAAAACAAGAUUGUUUCCUCAAAAAAUAUUGUUUGGUGGAUGAAUUUAGCCAAGAAAAUUCCUGAAAGCCAGUAUAACAUUGUGGGUGACCGUGUUAGCAAAGUUACUCUUCCCAGUUUGAAUGCAACCAGACUGCGAGGAAAGUUCACCUACGAUGCAGUGUACUGCUGCAACGAGCAUGAGUGCCACCAUCGCUAUGCUGAAUUGUAUGUGGUUGAUGUCAAUAUCAAUAUAUUAUGUGAAACUGAUGGGUACUUAACUAAAAUGACUUGCAGAUGGUCACCUAAUGCAAUCCAAUCACUCACGGGGAGUACUUUGCAAUUGAGGUAUCAUAGGAGCAGCCUUUAUUGUUCUGAUGUUCCAUCUAUUCAUACCACCUCUGAACCCAAAGAUUGCCAUUUGCAGAGAGAUGGUUUUUAUGAAUGCAUAUUUCAGCCAAUCUUUCUAUUAUCCGGCUACACAAUGUGGAUAAGGAUCAAUCACUCUCUGGGUUCAUUGGAUUCUCCUCCAACGUGUGUUGUUCCUGAUUCCAUGGUAAAACCAUUGCCUCCAUCCAGUGUGAAAGCAGAAAUUACUGCAAAAAUUGGAUUAUUGAAAAUAUCUUGGAAAAAGCCCAUUUUUCCAGAGAAUAAUCUUCAGUUCCAGAUUCGUUAUGGCUUAAAUGGAAAAGAAAUACAGUGGAAGAUGCAUGAGGUAUAUGAUGCAAAAUCAAAAUCUGUCAGUCUCCCGGUGCCAGACCUGUGUGCAGUCUACGCUGCUCAGGUGCGCUGUAAGAGGCUGGAUGGACUGGGAUAUUGGAGUAAUUGGAGUACUCCAGCCUACACAGUGGUCAUGGAUGUAAAAGUUCCUAUCAAAGGACCUGAAUUUUGGAGAAUAAUUCAUGAAGACAGUACAAAAAAGGAAAGAAAUGUCACUUUACUUUGGAAACCCCUGAUGAAAAAUGAUUCAUUGUGCCGUGUGAGAAGAUAUGUAGUAAAGCAUCACACUGCCCGCAAUGGAACAUGGUCAGAAGAUGUGGGCAACCACACCAAAUUCACUUUCCAAUGGACAGAGCAAACACAUACUGUUACAGUUCUGGCUGUUAAUUCGAUUGGUGCCUCUUUUGCAAAUUUUAAUUUAACGCUCUCAUGGCCUAUGAGCAAAGUAAAUAUUGUGCAGUCACUCAAUGCUUAUCCUUUAAAUAGUAGUUGUGUGAUUCUUUCCUGGAUGCUAUCACUUAGUGAUUACAAUCUGAUAUAUUUUAUUCUUGAGUGGAAAAUUCUUAAUGAAGACAAUGAAAUUAAAUGGCGUAGAAUCCCUUCGUCUGUUAAGAGGUAUUAUAUCCAUGAUCAUUUUAUCCCAAUUGAGAAGUAUCAAUUCAGUCUUUACCCUAUAUUUAUGGAAGGAGUGGGGAAACCGAAGAUAAUUAAUAGUUUUACCCAAGAUGAUAUUGAAAAACACCAGACUGAUGCAGGUCUAUAUGUAAUUGUGCCAAUAAUUAUUUCUUCAUUAACCCUGUUGCUUGGAGCAUUGCUAAUAUUACAUCAAAGAAUGAAGAAGCUGUUUUGGGAUGAUGUUCCAAACCCCAAGAAUUGUUCCUGGGCACAAGGACUUAAUUUUCAAAAGAAAGAUUGUUGGACUGGAAAAAAACCGACUUAGGGUCCUUGCUGUUCUAAGUAGCUGUGCAACUUUAAGCCUCAAUUGUUUUGUCUAAAAAAGGGGAGAUACGUGGAGCAGAGUACGGACAUUCUUUGAAGUCUAAUCAUGAUCACUACAGAUGAACCCAAUGUACCAACUUUCCAACAUUCUAUAGAGUAUUAGAAGAUUUUUACAUUUUGAAGAAGGGGAGAAAAUCUAAAAAUAAAAUUUGGUUGAACUAUUAAGAACUAAACUAUGAUGGAUCUGUUGAUUUAGAACUAAAAACAGAUGGGUAAAUUUGGGAUGGAGAUAAAGGUCUGAGUCCAGUUCAAUUUGGAUGUAUGAUUACUUUUCAGGUCAUCUGAAGUUUAAAAAGCAGUGUUCAUGAUAUCUGGCUUUUGAUUGAUCAUUUGGUCAUGAAACAUUGAAAAAUUCUAACUGUUGUUCUUAUUACAUAUCUAUUAGGAAUCAUCAAAUAUAGAGUAAACAAUGUUGUCAGUAGAUAACAACAGCAGCUUCUGACACGUAGUUUUGCAGAUAUACUGACUCUAAUGACAGAUGAAGUAAAUGUAUUUAGUUUGUACUUUUAUGUUCAAAAUUUCCCAUCUUAUAUUCUUUUAUAGACACUUCCAUGUGGUCAACCUGGGAGUUUUCAUUUUCUAUAGUCUCAAAAAUGGUCAAGUGCUAACUUCAUUUCAUUUCAAAAAAGCCAGAAGUUAUAGUUUGUGCUGGUCACAGGCCUCUGCAAGUUACAGUUCAUAUCAGCAUGACCUGGCAUAGCAAGAUCAGAUUGACCAGAAAAUACAUUAGCUUCCAAUUCAGCCUCCUCGUAAAAUUUUUGCUUGAAUUUAAUAUAUUUACACUGAACCUCCCAAAGCUUCUGGCAGGCAAGGGAGUGCACAGUGGUACAAGAAGGAAGACUCUUUGGAGCUUUGACAGAUAUUUCAUGGUGAUGACAGGACGUUUCUCCCUGAAAAAGACCACCUGCUGUUUCUAUGAACUUAGCAGACUGUGUUCUGUUGCUCACAUUAAAAAUGAACCAAAGUCUUUGUUUGAUGAACAACAACAACAAAAAUUCAAAUUUAGGCUAUACAUGGAUCACUUAAAUUUAGAUUUCAUUCACAGUUUUAUUUGAAUGUAAAAAAAAUAAAACUAAACAAUGAAAAGAAUGGUAUCCUUUUUCCCCUUCAUUGACUUUAAAUAGAUGUCAUUGGAAUGUAAAAUCUGAGUGAAAUUAAGAAAAGACAUUCUUUAUUUCCCACCAGCUGAACAUAUAAUAUGUUCCCAGACUCUUCUAAAAACCUCAAAAAUUUAGAUGCAUUCAGUAAUUUAGAUGCUUUUGAGUAAGCAUACUUUUAAUAAAGGUUUGUGACCCCUUUAUACACUUCAAUAAUAUAUGAGUGUAUGAUUUCUAAUUAUUUAUUAGUGAAGUCUUCCAUCUAAAAUGAAUGCAAUCAUAGACAUGGGGUCAGUUUUUAGUUACCAAUUACGAAGUCCUAGAGGGCAUUGAAUAUGCCAAACAUGUCAUUUGAAAAACAUAUGUGAGUUAGACUGCAUUCCAUGGGCUAUGUUGUGUAUUUUUUGUUUUCACACUGAUAGUUUGUAAUUCCUUUAUUUGGUGAUCUUAAUUUCUAAGUUAUUUAAAAUUUCAAGAAAUUCAAAACAUAUAUAGUAGUAGCCUUAAGAAAAAACAAAAUGAACAAGCAAAUAUUUGAAGGAACUAAUAAAUCUAAGUAUAGAUUUCUGUCAGAAUGAAAAUAGGCACAGAAACAGUUCCUCUUACUAUAUUAUGUUUAUAGAAUAAUGGAAAGGUUAUGUUAACAUGGUAUUUGUCAUUAUGCAGUAUUUUAAUAUCUUUAUAAGCCUAUUCCAUUAUUAUUAUAUUUACUGUUUGGUAUAUUUAUUCUUUUAUGGUUAUAAUGACCAAUAUAUUUCAGUUCAGUUCAAAACUUUGCUAAAUGAACUAUGUUUUUAUAUGGAAUAGAUUUGCCAUUAUGAACUCAGGCAACAAAUCUGAAUUCACUUUAUUAGUUUAAAAUUUAUAAUAUUCAAAAGUUCACUUAUAUGUAUGAUAUACAAAUUGCACAUAUUUUCUAUAACACUUCAUUUAGUUGUGUUAAUUUUUCAAUGUGAUGUGUCCACAGUAUUCUUUAUUUUGCAUUUAUUUUUUCAGUAUGUUCACAUUGUAUGAGUUGUGUUUUUUGCACACAUAUUCUUGAUGUGUUAUGCUUGAGAGGAUUUUUCUUUUGCUGUAACCACCAUUCUUAUAAAAUAUAUGAUAUGCA